GACGAACGCUGGCGGCGUGCUUAACACAUGCAAGUCGAACGGUAAGGCCCUUCGGGGUACACGAGUGGCGAACGGGUGAGUAACACGUGGGUGAUCUGCCCUGCACUUCGGGAUAAGCCUGGGAAACUGGGUCUAAUACCGGAUAGGACCACUGCCUGCAUGGGUGGUGGUGGAAAGCUUUUGCGGUGUGGGAUGGGCCCGCGGCCUAUCAGCUUGUUGGUGGGGUGAUGGCCUACCAAGGCGACGACGGGUAGCCGGCCUGGGAGGGUGACCGGCCACACUGGGACUGAGAUACGGCCCAGACUCCUACGGGAGGCAGCAGUGGGGAAUAGUGCACAAUGGGCGCAAGCCUGAUGCAGCGACGCCGCGUGAGGGAUGCCGGCCUUCGGGUUGUAAACCUCUUUCAGCACCGACGAAGCGCAAGUGACGGUAGGUGCAGAAGAAGGACCGGCCAACUACGUGCCAGCCGCCGCCGUAA
rnacentral:rRNA from 1 species